rnacentral:rRNA from 1 species
UACGUAGGGUGCGAGCGUUGUCCGGAAUUAUUGGGCGUAAAGAGCGUGUAGGCGGCCAGAUAGGUCAGCUGUGAAAACUCGAGGCUCAACCUCGAGACGUCGGUUGAAACCAUCUGGCUAGAGUCCGGAAGAGGAGAGUGGAAUUCCCGGUGUAGCGGUGAAAUGCGCAGAUAUCGGGAAGAACACCCGUGGCGAAGGCGGCUCUCUGGGACGGUACUGACGCUGAGACGCGAAAGCGUGGGGAGCAAACAGG